UAAUAGGUACGUUCUCAAUUUUGUGUUCAUUGAUCUGUGUCUCCUGUCGUCCCUCUUCUUGUAUUUCUCUCCUCCUGAUGCUAACACAGGCUUGGUGUCAACGAAUGUAAAACAUUAAGGGGGCAAGCCUAAGCAAGCAAAGCAAUGUACAUACCAUGUAGCUACAUUGUGUAUCAGGACACAAUGCACACUACAGUCCAUGUACAUGAGAAUGUCACCAGUACUUUACAGAUGAUGAAGAGAGCAUGACAAUGUCCAAUUAGAACAAUACAAAGAAUUUAUCAUCAAGAAAGACUGCAGCAUUAGAUAUGGAUCAAAACGAAGACAAGUGAUUACUAAUGCUGUAUUGCAUAUUGCAUUGGCUGAAGCAAUGAUGAUGUGUUUCUGUCUCUCUCAAGGUUAGGAUUUGCACUACUGACAUAAAUCUUUCAUUCAAAGUGAUAUUCAAGGCAGACAAGAACAUAUGAAUAUAUAUAACAUUUAUGAUUGCUGUGCUUUACUUUCUGAUUUUAGUUCUUAG